AAAUGAAUAGACGGGGGCCCGCACAAGCGGUGGAGUAUGUGGUUUAAUUCGAAGCAACGCGCAGAACCUUACCUGGGCUUAACAUCCCCUGACACCUGCAGAGAUGUAGGGUUCCCUUCGGGGACAGGGAGAUAGGUGCUGCAUGGCUGUCGUCAGCUCGUGUCGUAAGAUGUUGGGUUAAGUCCCGCAACGAGCGCAACCCUUGUCCUUAGUUGCCACCAUUAAGUUGGGCACUCUGAGGAGACUGCCGGUGUUAAACCGGAGGAAGGCGGGGAUGACGUCAAGUCCUCAUGGCCCUUACGUCCAGGGCUACACACGUACUACAAUGGCAGAGACAAAGGGUCGCGAAGCCGCGAGGUGAAGCUAAUCCCAAAAACACUGUCUCAGUCCGGAUUGAAGUCUGCAACUCGACUUCAUGAAGCUGGAAUCGCUAGUAAUCGCAGAUCAGCACGCUGCGGUGAAUACGUUCCCGGGCCUUGUACACACCGCCCGU
rnacentral:rRNA from 1 species